GCAUCGCUAGCUCAACUGGCUAGAGCACCUGACUCUUAAUCAGGGGGUUCUGGGUUCGAGUCCCAGGCGGUGUACCA
rnacentral:tRNA from 1 species